rnacentral:misc_RNA from 1 species
GCAAAAAUAUAUACCACAACAUUACAUUGGUAUGUUAAUCAUCUUCAGGUAAGAUCCAUGUAUAAAGAUGAAUUUCUCUUAUAAUAUGCCUGAAUGGAUUGUCUUAGGUCAGCCACCAAGCAUGUAAAGUUCUUAAAACUUUCUGAAUUCAGUGGGAAAGAAAAUAUUUAUACUGUUAAUUGUACCAAUGGUUUGUUUUUCAAAUGACAUGUUUGGGUAUGUUGAAGGAAAUGUUUAGAUGGAAUUGUGUAGAAAAGAGUGUUUUGCUGUGAAAUAAUUUAGGUCCCUGGAAUUCAUCUGUUUUUUAAAACACUCAUUUAUUGAUGUUGCUUUGAAGUUUAUAAAAUUUUAAAUAUCAUUUUUAUCCCUUUUUUUUACAUUUGUAAAGAUGGAUUGAUGUUAUAACAAUGGGCUAAGGUGCAAUAAUAAGCCAGAGGUGCAAUAAUAUAUGUCAGAGGUGCAAUAAUAUAUGAAAGAGGAUACUAUUUGCUUUAGCACAGUGAUGCUAUUCCGAUGGAAAUCUGUGUGAAUUGUUGGAAUAUAAAUUAAGAUUUUAUGUACUGGUAAACCAAAUGUUAUAAUGUUAAAAAUUGUUGACAUCUAGAGUGUUUAAAUACAGUUACUGCUUUCUGUUGACUUCAUAACCCGUCCCCAUGCUAAUUAUAUUAAUACUGUUUCAUGUUUAAUUUGUCCAUUUUGAUGUUUUGUGAUUGUUGGUGUUUAAUAAAAAAUAUAAAAAUG